ACAAGGCAACAAUUACGUCUCUCCCUAUAAUAGCUAGUCGGUUCUAACAACGUCUCCUAAACGAACGCGAUUAGUGUACCUGCAAGAAAAACACCAACACACGAACCUUUCGUGCCAGCACCCACGAAAGCGUUCCAAACAUUACCGCUCACUAUAGGAACGGCACCCAUGCGUUUAAGGCUGCAUGGACAGCACUCAACCGUGGAAAUAGGUUCCCUUGGAAUGGAACCA
rnacentral:lncRNA from 1 species